AACGAAUGAUGGAGGAAGGAAGAAAAAAGGAAAGUCGAGCGAGGACUGCGGUCUUAGCGGCGGACGGGUGAGUAACGCGUGGGAACGUGCCUUUUGCUUCGGAAUAGCCCUGGGAAACUGGGAGUAAUACCGGAUGAGCCCUUUGGGGGAAAGAUUUAGCGGCGAAGGAUCGGCCCGCGUUGGAUUAGGUAGUUGGUGGGGUAAUGGCCUCCAAAGCCGUGGAUACAUAGCUGGUUUGAGAGGCUGAUCAGCCACACUGGUACUGAGACACGGUCCGGAAUCCUACGGGAAGCAGGAGUGGGGGAUCUUAGACAAUGGGGUAAGCCCUGAUCUAGCCAUGCCGCGUACUCCCUGUCGGCCUUGGGGUUGUAAAGCUCUUUCAGCUGGGAAGAUAUUGACGGUACCAGCAGAAGAAGCCCCUGCUCCCUCCGUC
rnacentral:rRNA from 1 species